rnacentral:misc_RNA from 1 species
CAGAAAUUCAGAAAGAGAACUUGGCUGCAUGAGUUUCAAAAAGGAAAAGCCAGGCAGCAACAACUGCACGAAAAUACCCUCUAUCAACUAGAACACUAGAACCUUCCAUUCUUGAUAUAAAUUACAAAAACUCGUCUCUAAUCCAAGUUGUGCAUGGCUCCAUAGCAGGCAAUAUCAUGUACAUAGUUAACCUCUAAAAUGAAGACAUGUCAGGACAGAUACACCAAAGAAUUGUGUCAACUUUAUGUCCCCUAAUGGCACGAGCUGUCCAAUGCAGCCAAAAAGAU